rnacentral:rRNA from 1 species
GUACACUCCUACGGGAGGCAGCAGUGGGGAAUAUUGGACAAUGGGCGCAAGCCUGAUCCAGCCAUGCCGCGUGAGUGAUGAAGGCCCUAGGGUUGUAAAGCUCUUUCACCGGUGAAGAUAAUGACGGUAACCGGAGAAGAAGCCCCGGCUAACUUCGUGCCAGCAGCCGCGGUAAUACGAAGGGGGCUAGCGUUGUGCGGAUUUACUGGGCGUAAAGCGCACGUAGGCGGACUAUUAAGUCAGGGGUGGAAUCCCGGGGCUCAACCCCGGAACUGCCUUUGAUACUGGUAGUCUUGAGUUCGAGAGAGGUGAGUGGAAGUCCUAGUGUAGAGGUGAAAUUCGUAGAUAUUCGGAGGAACACCAGUGGCGAAGGCGGCUCACUGGCUCGAUACUGACGCUGAGGUGCGAAAGCGUGGGGAGCAAACAGGAUUAGAUACCCUUGUAGUCCC